UACUACAGCCAUGCCACCCUGAACAAGCCCGAUCCCGUCUGAUCUCUGAAGCUAAGCGGGGUUGAGCCUGGUAAGUACUUGGAUGGGAAACCACCUAGGAAGACCAGGUGCUGUAGGCA
rnacentral:rRNA from 1 species